AAGUCGUAACAAGGUUUCCGUAGGUGAACCUGCGGAAGGAUCAUUAACACUCCAAAAACCUUUCGGUCUUCCAUGCUGGCAACAGCUGGAAGAUUUGAAAACCCUAUUCACAGCGAACCAAGAAGUACUCAGAGCUCUCUUGACUGAGAGUUUCUGUUUUACUUCGCCAACCUUUUGUCCUUUUUCUUAUUUUAUUUAACCCAACUUAUGACUAUUGACUUACGGAGACAAACACACUCGUGUGGAUGUCUCGUUGCUCUCUCUAACCAGAGGCAAUGAAAACUCUUGUUUAACAAAAAAACAACUCUUAGCAACGGAUAUCUUGGUUCUC
rnacentral:misc_RNA from 1 species